UAAUGCCAUCGGCGAAAUCACAGGGAACGGCUGUAAGUUCCAACGCGCGCUAUCUGUUUGGGUUCUCUCAUCUCUGCGGUCUCAUCCAACGGAUUCUGUGCAUCUUUCUGCGGUAUCCACUGGGGAGUAAAGUUAUGAGGUAUUUUUUCCACACUUCACAAGGAUGGGGACAUCACUCAGAAGAGUGAAGUUUUGAGAAGCCCUGGAUAACAACUACAAUAACAUUCUGAAGUUCGUCCAAGGAGUCAACUAUCAUCAACGGGGUGCUUCUUGGGCAUUAAUUCGGAGACAGACAGGCAGAAAGGACAGAAACAACAAGCUGCAAGUCUGUACACUGAUUAGAAAACUUAUGACUUGAAUAGAUGUCAGUCUAGUGUGUCACAAAUACUAGUUCUUUGUUUAGCUAGAGGCGAUUGUACACUUUGUACUCUUACAAUGUUCUAUAUCAGGAGUCUCCAACGUGGUGCCCAUGGGCAGCAGGUAUAUACACAGAGUCUGUGAGGUGCCCACCAAAUCACAUUCUAUUAAUAGUCUCAAUUGUAAUAUUUGUUGAUUACAUAUUUUUUAUAUUGACUUGGCUUGGUUUACAUAUGUUCAAAUUUUAAACAAAACAAAAACAUAUCAAAAAGUACAAUGAAAUAAAAUAAACAAGUAAAACAAAAAAAGUUUUGAGUAGACUAUAUCAAAAGGUAGCCCUCCAGAAUGUUUUAUCCAUUGUGGAAGCCCUUGCUCACAAAAAGGUUUGAGACCCCUGUUCUAUAUUGUGUCUGUUAAAUAAAGAAACAUGAAGAAAUUAGUGAAUGUCAGUCUACAUUGUAAAAAUAACAUAUUUGUUGCACUUAUUUUUUUACUGUUUAAUUAACUCUAAAUUACAAUUUAUUUCAACUUUUGACUAGUAAGGAGUUGCUAUUAAUUAUAAAAAAUAAAGUUGAAAUAACUUAAGCUAACUACUUUAAUUUUAUAAUUUAUAGCAACUCUUCAUUAGUCAAAAAAGUUAAAUGAAUUAUAAAUUCAAGUUGAUUAAAUUUAAAAAUGUAAGUUCCGUUUUUUACAGUGUAGAGCGGGGUGGGCAUUCCUGGUCUUUGAGGGCCACUGUCCUGCAAAGUUUAGCUCCAACCCUAAUCAAACACACCUCAACGUCAUUUCCAAGUCAUACUGAAGCCUUUGAUUGAGAUUUUCAGGUGUGUUUGAUUAGGGUUGGAGCUAAACUUUGCAGGACAGUGGCCCUCAAAGACCAGGAAUGCCCACCCCUGAUGUAGAGUGUAAGCAGUGUUCCAAUGCACGAAAGGAAAUAUUAUUCUGUGUAGUUAUUAUUCUGAUGUUAUUUAUACUAUCUGAGGUAGUCAAUGAAUAAUAUGAUAUGUAAUAAUAUGUUAUGCACAA